rnacentral:rRNA from 1 species
GACUGGGCGUAAAGGGCGUGUAGGCGCCGAUUAAGUCUGGAGUGAAAGUCUGCAGUAAAGUGGGAAUUGCUUUGGAUACUGGUUGGCUGAGUGCAGAAGAGGUAAGCGGAAUUCCCAGUGUAGCGGUGAAAUGCGUAGAGAUUGGGAGGAACACCAGUGGCGAARGCGGCUUACUGGGCUGUAACUGACGCUGAGGCGCGAAAGCGUGGGGAGCGAACAGGAUUAGAUACCCUGGUAGUCCACGCGGUAAACGAUGAAUGCUAGGUGUUGCGGGUAUCGACCCCUGCAGUGCCGGAGUAAACGCAAUAAGCAUUCCGCCUGGGGAGUACGGCCGCAAGGUUGAAACUCAAGGGAAUUGACGGGGGCCCGCACAAGCAGCGGAGCAUGUUGUUUAAUUCGAAGCAACGCGAAGAACCUUACCAGGUCUUGACAUCGGCGUAAAGCCCAAGAGAUUGGGUGUCUCUUCGGAGGAUGCCAGACAGGUGGUGCAUGGUUGUCGUCAGCUGGUGUCGUGAGAUGUUGGGUUAAGUCCCGCAACGAGCGCAACCCUUAUGGUCAGUUACUAACAAGUGAAGUUGAGGACUCUGACAAGACUGCCGGGGACAACUCGGAGGAAGGUGGGGACGACGUCAAAUCAUCAUGCCCCUUAUGACCUGGGCUACAAACGUGCUACAAUGGUGACUACAAAGAGGAGCGAGACCGUAAGGUGGAGCGGAUCUCAAAAAAGUCAUCCCAGUUCGGAUUGUGGGCUGCAACCCGCCCACAUGAAGUUGGAGUUGCUAGUAAUCGCGGAUCAGCAUGCCGCGGUGAAUACGUUCCCGGGCCUUGUACACACCGCCCGUCACACCAUGGGAGUUGGGAGCACCCGAAGUCAGUGAGGUAACCGCAAGGGGCCAGCUGCCGAAGGUGAGACCGAUGACUGGGGUGAAGUCGUAACAAGGUAA